rnacentral:rRNA from 1 species
GACGAACGCUGGCGGCGUGCUUAACACAUGCAAGUCGAACGGAAAGGCCCUGCUUUUGUGGGGUGCUCGAGUGGCGAACGGGUGUGUAACACGUGAGUAACCUGCCCUUGACUUUGGGAUAACUUCAGGAAACUGGGGCUAAUACCGGAUAGGAGCUCCUGCUGCAUGGUGGGGGUUGGAAAGUUUCGGCGGUUGGGGAUGGACUCGCGGCUUAUCAGCUUGUUGGUGGGGUAGUGGCUUACCAAGGCUUUGACGGGUAGCCGGCCUGAGGGGGUGACCGGCCACAUUGGGACUGGGAUACGGCCCGGACUCCUACGGGAGGCAGCGGUGGGGAUUAUUGCCCAAUGGGCGGAAGCCUGAUGCGGCAACGCCGCGUGCGGGAUAACGGCCUUCGGGUGGUAAACCGCUUUCGCCUGUGACGAAGCGUGAGUGACGGUAAUGGGUAAAGAAGCACCGGCUAACUACGUG